GAGGAGCUGGAAGAGCACAUGCCCUUUGCCCAUGGAGUCCCCGGCUGAUCGCACUAACUUCAAUUCAGAACACACUGGAAAGCCAAAAUCAAGAUCACAGAGUGCUGGGGACACCUGAAGCUGCUCCAUGUCUUAGCUGCCUCAAAGAAAGGAUGGAAUGGGAGACCAUGGACCUUUCUCAAGGAGGACCAUCUAGAGGACCGUGCUCAGAGGUUCUGAUGCUCUGGAGGACGUGGGAAGACACAGAUUACUGGGCCUCACCCCAGAGUGUCUGAUUCAGCAGGUCUGGGUUGUGCUGGACUCUUUGCGACCCCAUGGACUGUAACCUCCAGGUUACCUGAAUUCUCCAGAAGAUACUACAGCAGGAAGACGGAAAGAAUCUGAGUUCUCAGUGGUGUCCAUACUUGACCACUGAAACUGAGAACCCCGAAGCUGCACCAUCUCAGGACUUCCUGAGAUGUGGAAGUAAUAAAUGUCUUUAUUAUUAAAUGGCAUGGGUUGGUGCUUUCUAGUACUUUCAACUGAAAGCAUUACAGUUGCUACAGAUGUGAAAUCUUUUGGCAAGGAGCCAGCAGCCACAAUCAACAGCUUUAUUGAUUUCUUUAUUCAGUGAAAGUCUACUGAGGGCAUUCUGUGUGUCAGGAUGGUUCUGGGUAGUGGAGAGCUUGAGAGAGGGCCUUGCUGUCAUAGAGCUGCGUUCCAGUGGGUGAAGACAGACACGAAAGUAAUAAUUUCAGAUAAUGUUCA
ensembl:lncRNA